CGAACCCCUCUGCCCUACCUCUGCCUUAGCACUAGCUGCACCUCCGAUACAGAGUAGCAGUUGCCCUAUUUCUGCAGCUCUCAAUUCAGCAGUAAACGAUCGGCAACAAUCAACGGUUGUGAUUUGAGGACUUUGACGCGAGACGAGUAGCUCGAUGUCAGAUUUGGAC